UAAGGAAUAUUGGUCAAUGGGCGCAAGCCUGAACCAGCCAUGCCGCGUGAAGGAAGACGGCCCUACGGGUUGUAACCUUCUUUUGUACGGGAAAAAACCUCCGGUCGUGAACCGGAGCUGAUGGUACCGUAAGAAUAAGCAUCGGCUAACUCCGUGCCAGCAGCCGCGGUAAUACGGAGGAUGCAAGCGUUAUCCGGAUUCACUGGGUUUAAAGGGUGCGCAGGCGGAAUGAUAAGUCAGUGGUGAAAUCCUACAGCUCAACUGUAGAACUGCCAUUGAUACUGUCGUUCUUGAGUACACUUGGAGUGGGCGGAAUGUGUCAUGUAGCGGUGAAAUGCUUAGAUAUGACACAGAACACCGAUCGCGAAGGCAGCUCACUAAAUUGUAACUGACGCUCAGGCACGAAAGCGUGGGGAUCAAACAG
rnacentral:rRNA from 1 species